GACGAACGCUGGCGGCGUGCUUAACACAUGCAAGUCGAACGGAAAGGCCCUGCUUUUGUGGGGUGCUCGAGUGGCGAACGGGUGAGUAACACGUGAGUAACCUGCCCUUGACUUUGGGAUAACUUCAGGAAACUGGGGUUAAUACCGGAUAGGAGCUCCUGCUGCAUGGUGGGGGUUGGAAAGUUUCGGCGGUUGGGGAUGGACUCGCGGCUUAUCAGCUUGUUGGUGGGGUAGUGGCUUACCAAGGCUUUGACGGGUAGCCGGCCUGAGGGGGUGGCCGGCCACAUUGGAACUGGGAUACGGCCCAGACUCCUACGGGAGGCAGCAGUGGGGAAUAUUGCACAAUGGGCGGAAGCCUGAUGCAGCAACGCCGCGUGCGGGAUGACGGCCUUCGGGUUGUAAACCGCUUUCGCCUGUGACGAAGCGUGAGUGACGGUAAUGGGUAAAGAAGCACCGGCUAACUACGUG
rnacentral:rRNA from 1 species